rnacentral:rRNA from 1 species
UUGGAGUCUGCAACCCGACUCCAUGAAGGUGGAAUCGCUAGUAAUCGCGCAUCAGCCAUGGCGCGGUGAAUACGUUCCCGGACCUUGUACACACCGCCCGUCAAGCCAUGGGAGCUUGGGGCGCCUGAAGACGGUGACUUUACGGGGAGCUGUCUAAGGUGAAACAGGUGACUGGGGCUAAGUCGUAACAAGGUAGCCGUACCGGAAGGUGCGGCUGGAAUACCUCCUUU